rnacentral:rRNA from 1 species
AGUAGCACGUGGAUAACCUACCUAUAAGACUGGGAUAACUUCGGGAAACCGGAGCUAAUACCGGAUAAUAUUUUGGACCGCAUGGUUCAAAAGUGAAAGACGGUCUUGCUGUCACUUAUAGAUGGAUCCGCGCUGCAUUAGCUAGUUGGUAAGGUAACGGCUUACCAAGGCAACGAUGCAUAGCCGACCUGAGAGGGUGAUCGGCCACACUGGAACUGAGACACGGUCCAG